UGGCGGGACGGGGUGGAGUAAUGUCUGGGAAACUGCCUGAUGGAGGGGGGUAACUACUGGAAACGGUAGUUAAUACCGCAUAACGUCGCAAGACCAAAGAGGGGGACCGUUAGGGCCUCUUGCCAUCGGAUGUGCCCAGAUGGGAUUAGCUAGUAGGUGGGGUAACGGCUCACCUAGGCGACGAUCCCUAGCUGGUCUGAGAGGAUGACCAGCCACACUGGAACUGAGACACGGUCCAG
rnacentral:rRNA from 1 species